GCCUUCGUGGUGUAGUGGUCAGCACACUCAACGAGUAACCGAGAGGUCCGUGGUUCGAUUCCUGGCGAAGGCG
rfam:Stegodyphus mimosarum contig47815, whole genome shotgun sequence.